rnacentral:rRNA from 1 species
UAGAGGAGCGUUCUGUAAGCCUGUGAAGGUGAGUUGAGAAGCUUGCUGGAGGUAUCAGAAGUGCGAAUGCUGACAUGAGUAACGACAAUGGGUGUGAAAAACACCCACGCCGAAAGACCAAGGGUUCCUGCGCAACGUUAAUCGACGCAGGGUUAGUCGGUUCCUAAGGCGAGGCUGAAAAGCGUAGUCGAUGGGAAACAGGUUAAUAUUCCUGUACUUCUGGUUACUGCGAUGGAGGGACGGAGAAGGCUAGGCCAGCUUGGCGUUGGUUGUCCAAGUUUAAGGUGGUAGGCUGAAAUCUUAGGUAAAUCCGGGGUUUCAAGGCCGAGAGCUGAUGACGAGUCGUCUUUUAGAUGACGAAGUGGUUGAUGCCAUGCUUCCAAGAAAAGCUUCUAAGCUUCAGGUAACCAGGAACCGUACCCCAAACCGACACAGGUGGUCGGGUAGAGAAUACCAAGGCGCUUGAGAGAACUCGGGUGAAGGAACUAGGCAAAAUGGCACCGUAACUUCGGGAGAAGGUGCGCCGGCUAGGGUGAAGGAUUUACUCCGUAAGCUCUGGCUGGUCGAAGAUACCAGGCCGCUGCGACUGUUUAUUAAAAACACAGCACUCUGCAAACACGAAAGUGGACGUAUAGGGUGUGACGCCUGCCCGGUGCCGGAAGGUUAAUUGAUGGGGUUAGCGCAAGCGAAGCUCUUGAUCGAAGCCCCGGUAAACGGCGGCCGUAACUAUAACGGUCCUAAGGUAGCGAAAUUCCUUGUCGGGUAAGUUCCGACCUGCACGAAUGGCGUAACGAUGGCGGCGCUGUCUCCACCCGAGACUCAGUGAAAUUGAAAUCGCUGUGAAGAUGCAGUGUAUCCGCGGCUAGACGGAAAGACCCCGUGAACCUUUACUGUAGCUUUGCACUGGACUUUGAGCCUGCUUGUGUAGGAUAGGUGGGAGGCUUUGAAGCGUGGACGCCAGUUCGCGUGGAGCCAUCCUUGAAAUACCACCCUGGCAUGCUUGAGGUUCUAACUCUGGUCCGUGAUCCGGAUCGAGGACAGUGUAUGGUGGGCAGUUUGACUGGGGCGGUCUCCUCCUAAAGAGUAACGGAGGAGUACGAAGGUGCGCUCAGACCGGUCGGAAAUCGGUCGUAGAGUAUAAAGGCAAAAGCGCGCUUGACUGCGAGACAGACACGUCGAGCAGGUACGAAAGUAGGUCUUAGUGAUCCGGUGGUUCUGUAUGGAAGGGCCAUCGCUCAACGGAUAAAAGGUACUCCGGGGAUAACAGGCUGAUACCGCCCAAGAGUUCAUAUCGACGGCGGUGUUUGGCACCUCGAUGUCGGCUCAUCACAUCCUGGGGCUGAAGCCGGUCCCAAGGGUAUGGCUGUUCGCCAUUUAAAGUGGUACGCGAGCUGGGUUUAGAACGUCGUGAGACAGUUCGGUCCCUAUCUGCCGUGGACGUUUGAGAUUUGAGAGGGGCUGCUCCUAGUACGAGAGGACCGGAGUGGACGAACCUCUGGUGUUCCGGUUGUCACGCCAGUGGCAUUGCCGGGUAGCUAUGUUCGGAAAAGAUAACCGCUGAAAGCAUCUAAGCGGGAAACUUGCCUCAAGAUGAGAUCUCACUGGGAACUUGAUUCCCCUGAAGGGCCGUCGAAGACUACGACGUUGAUAGGCUGGGUGUGUAAGCGUUGU